rnacentral:rRNA from 1 species
UGUUACCAAAAACAUUCUUGAAAUCAAACAUAAGAGGUCUGCCUGCCAGUGCCACGUGUUCAACGGCCGCGGUAUUUUACCGUGCAAGGUAGCGCAAUCACUUGUCCUUAAAUGGGGACCUGUAUGAAUGGCACGACGAGGGCUUGACUGUCUCCUCUCUCCAGUCAAUGAAAUUGAUCUCCCCGUGCAGAAGCGGGGAUAUUAUCAUAAGACGAGAAGACCCUAUGAAGCUUAGACACCGGACAGAUUAUGUUAAACACCCUUCUAAAGGAAUAAACUAGUAACCCCUGUCCAAAUGUUUUGGUUGGGGCGACCGCGGGGAAAAUAACCCCCAUGUGGACUGAGAGAAUUAACUCUUACAACCCAGAGCUACAGCUCUAAGUAACAAAUUUUGACCAAAGGAUCCGGCAAUGCCGAUCAACGACCGAGUUACUCUAGGGAUAACAGCGCAAUCCCCUUUUAGAGCCCUAUCGACAAGGGGGUUUACGACCUCGAUGUUGGAUCAGGACAUCCUAAUGGUGCACCGCUAUUAAGGGUCGUUUGUCAACGAUUAAAGCUAAA